UGGGAACUUUAUUUAUCUCUUCCAGAGGAGCAGAAUGAAGAUUGUCCUGAUUCUUGCUGUAUUGUUCUGUAUUUGGGGAACUGCCCAAGUUGAAGGACGUGGUCUUGGUGGAGCGCGUCAUGUGACUCCAAUUCGAAUUGCUAGAUCUGCGGCAGGUCCUGUAUCAGGGAGUGGUUGUUGUUUUGUAUGCUUUCAUUGGUGCAAUUGUUGUGUGUGACUUUGAACAUCAAAAAUGCAUGCAUUUUUAUGCACUUGAUUGGAAUUAAAUAAAUAUUAAAGAAAUGA